rnacentral:rRNA from 1 species
GCUGAACGCUGGCGGCAGGCCUAACACAUGCAAGUCGAACGAGUGGCGGACGGGUGAGUAAUUUCUGGUAAACUGCCCGAUGGAGGUGGAUAACUACUGGAAACGGUAGCUAAUACCGCAUCCCAUCGGAUGUGCCCCGAUGGGAUUAGCUUGUAGGUGAGGUAACGGCUCACCUAGGCGACGUUCCCUAGCUGGUUUGAGAGGAUGACCAGACACACUGGAACUGAGACACGGUCCAGACGCCUACGUGAGGGAGCAGUGGGGAAUAGUGCACAAGGGGCGCAAGCCUGAUGCAGCCAUGCCGCGGGGAUGAAGAAGGCCUUCGGGUUGGAAAGUACUUUCAGCGGGGAGGCGUUACCCGCAGAAGAAGCACCGGCUAACUCCGUGCCAGCAGCCGCGGUAAUUC